rnacentral:rRNA from 1 species
CUUAAGCUUCAGUCUAGAGUUGACCGUACCGCAAACCGACACAGGUGGGCAGGAUGAAAAUUCUAAGGCGCUUGAGAGAACUCAGGAGAAGGAACUCGGCAAAUUAACACCGUAACUUCGGGAGAAGGUGUGCCCCGGUAGCGUGUAGAGACUUGCUCUCGAAGCGCGAUGGGGUUGCAGUGAAAUGGUGGCUGCGACUGUUUAAUAAAAACACAGCACUCUGCAAACACGAAAGUGGACGUAUAGGGUGUGACGCCUGCCCGGUGCCGGAAGGUUAAGUGAUGGGGUGCAAGCUCUUGAUCGAAGCCCCGGUAAACGGCGGCCGUAACAAUAACGGUCCUAAGGUAGCGAAAUUCCUUGUCGGGUAAGUUCCGACCUGCACGAAUGGCGUAACGAUGGCCACACUGUCUCCUCCUGGGACUCAGCGAAGUUGAAAUGUUUGUGAAGAUGCAAUCUACCCGCGGCUAGACGGAAAGACCCCAUGAACCUUUACUGUAGCUUUGCAUUGGACUUUGAACCGGUUUGUGUAGGAUAGGUGGGAGACUGUGAAGCCGGGACGCUAGUUUCGGUGGAGUCAACCUUGAAAUACCACCCUGAUUUGUUUGAGGUUCUAACCUUGGUCCGUGAAUCCGGAUCGGGGACCGUGCAUGGUAGGCAGUUUGACUGGGGCGGUCUCCUCCCAAAAGGUAACGGAGGAGUACGAAGGUACGCUUAGGGCGGUCGGACAUCGCCCACAAAGUGCAAUGGCAAAAGCGUGCUUGACUGCGAGACCCACAAGUCGAGCAGGUACGAAAGUAGGUCAUAGUGAUCCGGUGGUUCUGUAUGGAAGGGCCAUCGCUCAACGGAUAAAAGGUACUCUGGGGAUAACAGGCUAAUUCCUCCCAAGAGUUCAUAUCGACGGGGGAGUUUGGCACCUCGAUGUCGGCUCAUCACAUCCUGGGGCUGUAGUCGGUCCCAAGGGUAUGGCUGUUCGCCAUUUAAAGUGGUACGCGAGCUGGGUUUAAAACGUCGUGAGACAGUUUGGUCCCUAUCUGCCGUGGGCGCUGGAAAUUUGAAGGGGGCUGCUCCUAGUACGAGAGGACCGGAGUGGACGAACCUCUGGUGUACCGGUUAUGACGCCAGUCGUAUCGCCGGGUAGCUAAGUUCGGAAGAGAUAAACGCUGAAAGCAUCUAAGCGUGAAACUCGCCUUAAGAUAAGAUUUCCCGGAGUCUUGAACUCCCUGAAGGGUCGUCGAAGACCACGACGUUGAUAGGUCAGGUGUGGAAGCGCAGCAAUGCGUUAAGCUAACUGAUACUAAUUGCCCGUGCGGCUUGAUCCC